AUUUGCUGUGAUGAAUCAUGAAUAUUCACAUGUCAGACUUCAGAGAUUUUUCCUCUUUCAUAGGGGAAGAGAUCCAUGAGAUAACAUUCAUGUUUCUGAGCAUAAU